rnacentral:rRNA from 1 species
ACCUACGGGAGGCAGCAGUGGGGAAUAUUGCGCAAUGGACGAAAGUCUGACGCAGCGACGCCGCGUGAGGGAUGAAGGUUUUCGGAUCGUAAACCUCUGUCAGGAGGGAAGAAAGCGCAUGGCGCCAAUCAGCCAUGCGUUGACGGUACCUCCAAAGGAAGCGCCGGCUAACUCCGUGCCAGCAGCCGCGGUAAUACGGAGGGCGCGAGCGUUAAUCGGAAUUACUGGGUGUAAAGCGCGCGUAGGCUGUUGUGCAAGUUGGGGGUGAAAUGCCAAGGCUCAACAGUGGAAAAGCGCUGGAUACG